UACAGGGGGGGGCAAGCGUUGUUCGGAAUUACUGGGCGUAAAGGGCCAGUAGGCGGCCAACUAAGUCAGACGUGAAAUCCCUCGGCUUAACCGGGGAACUGCGUCUGAUACUGGAUGGCUAGAGGUUGGGAGAGGGAUGCGGAAUUCCAGGUGUAGCGGUGAAAUGCGUAGAUAUCUGGAGGAAUACCGGUGGCGAAGGCGGCAUCCUGGACCGACAUUGACGCUGAACGGCGAAAGCUAGGGGAGCAAACGGG
rnacentral:rRNA from 1 species